GGGCGUAAAGGGCACGCAGGCGGUCUGGAAAACGGUGAGGGCAAUCUCGAGGCUCAACCUCGAAACUGCUUGCCGAACUAUCAGACUAGAGCAUGGGAGAGGACAGUGGAAUUCCCGGUGCACCAGGUGGAAUGCGUAAAUAUCGGGAGGAACACCAGUGGCGAAGGCUGCUGUCUGGAACAUUGCUGACGCUGAGGUGCGAAAGCCAGGGGAGCGAACGGGAUUAGAUACCCCGGUAGUCCUGGCAGUAAACGAUGCUCACUAGGUGUUACCGGCAUUAACCCCGGUAGUGCUGUUCUGCUAACGCGCUAAGUGAACCGCCUGGGGAGUACGGCCGCAAGGCUGAAACUCAAAGGAAUAGACGGGGGCCCGCACAAGCGGUGGAGCAUGUGGGUCAAUUGGAUGCUACGCCAAGAACCUUACCAGGGCUUGACAUGUUGGGGCCCGCGUGAGAGAUCACGUUUUCUCCGCAAGGAGACCCCAUCACAGGUGGUGCAUGGCUGUCGUCAGCUCGUGUCGUGAGAUGUUGGCUUAAGUCCCGCAACGAGCGCAACCCUCACCGGAUGUUGCCAUCGGUUCGGCCGGGAACUCUUCCGGAACUGCCUGAGUAAUCAGGAGGAAGGCGAGGAUGACGUCAAGUCCGCAUGCCCCUUAUGUCCUGGGCUGCACACGUGCUACAAUGGCUGGUACAAAGGGUAGCCAAACCGCGAGGUGGAGCUAAUCCCCUAGAACCAGUCCCAGUUCGGAUUGGAUGUCUGCAACUCGACUCCAUGAAGCUGGAAUCGCUAGUAAUCGUGGAUCAGCAAUGCCACGGUGAUACGUUCUCGGGCCUUGUACACACCGCCCGUCAAGUCACGAAAGCUGGCAGCACCCGAAGU
rnacentral:rRNA from 1 species